rnacentral:ncRNA from 1 species
AGAGGUAGGCCCUCCGCAAUCUGUGUUCAGGCACUGGUUGCCAAUGACUGUAAGCUGCUAUAGUAAAAAGCUGUGGUAGUGAGCGUUAAAGAAAAGAUGCACAAGAUGUAUCACG